rnacentral:snoRNA from 1 species
GCACAGCUCUGGGUCGUGGCAAGCCGACCUCCAUGGUUCUCACAUGGUACCUCCUGCCAGACACACUGCAGCCGCCAACUGUGCCCAGCCUUCCUGCCCGCAGGGCAUAGGCACUGCUGUGGGCAGCAUGGUG